AGUGAACGCUGGCGGUAGGCCUAACACAUGCAAGUCGAACGGCGGCACAGUAAGAGCUUGCUCUUACGGGUGGCGAGUGGCGGACGGGUGAGGAAUACAUCGGAAUCUACUUUUUCGUGGGGGAUAACGUAGGGAAACUUACGCUAAUACCGCAUACGACCUACGGGUGAAAGCAGGGGAUCUUCGGACCUUGCGCGAUUGAAUGAGCCGAUGUCGGAUUAGCUAGUUGGCGGGGUAAAGGCCCACCAAGGCGACGAUCCGUAGCUGGUCUGAGAGGAUGAUCAGCCGCACUGGAACUGAGACACGGUCCAGACUCCUACGGGAGGCAGCAGUGGGGAAUAUUGGACAAAGGGCGCAAGCCUGAUCCAGCCAUACCGCGUGGGUGAAGAAGGCCUUCGGGUUGUAAAGCCCUUUUGUUGGGAAAGAAAAGCAGCAGGUUAAUACCCCGCUGUUCUGACGGUACCCAAAGAAUAAGCACCGGCUAACUUCGUG
rnacentral:rRNA from 1 species